rnacentral:lncRNA from 1 species
AGAUUAUCAGCCUGAUUUGGUGGCCAUUCUUAAAAUAAAAUUAAAAAAAAAAAAAAAGGAAGAUAGUUUUGAAUAGUGUUUUAGGAGAAUGUAUAGUUAAAAAAUAAAGAAAAAAUUUUGAGUUUUCAUAUAAAAUAUUUUAUAAUGUAAAUGUGUAGUUAAAAAUAAUACUAUAGAAAAAAGAGUUUGAAAAGAAUGGAAAUCAAAACCGGGGCUAUAUUGCACAAUCUCUCCCACACCUAAGCAUUACGCAACAAUAAUUAUUUCGAGAAUUCUCUAUCCUUCUCCAUUAUGCUUGAAGUUUCCCAAUUGUUUUGUGCAUUUAAAAAAAAUUAAAUUAAAAUUAAAAUUAAACUAACCUUAUAAGUGAGACUUGGCAUAAGGAAAUAAUCUCAGACUCUCAAUGUAAUGGGGAAAAAACUUGCAAAUCUCCCAUUUUUAACUUAUGUAAGAGCAUCAUCUAAAUAGUUGUGCAUAUGCCUUCGUUAUGUCUCCU